rnacentral:rRNA from 1 species
CCCUUAGAUGUUCUGGGCUGCACGCGCGCUACACUGAAGCUAUCAACACGUUUUCCCUCCCUGAGAAGGGCGGGUAACCUUUUGAAUCAGCUUCGUGGUAGGGAUCGGGGCUUGCAAUUGUUCCCCGUGAACCAGGAAUUCCUAGUAGACGCGAGUCAUAAGCUCGCAUCGAUUAAGUCCCUGCCCUUUGUACACACCGCCCGGCGCUACUACCGAUUGAACGUUUUAGUGAGGCAUUUGGACCGACGCAUCUCAGUUUAACCGCUGGUUUGUGUUGGAAAGACUUCCAAACUUGAGCGUUUAGAGGAAGUAAAAGUCGUAACA